rnacentral:lncRNA from 1 species
UUUUUUUUCCUUUUUUAUAGGUUAUGCAUCCAUGGAUCGUGCCUACUGAAGAGAAGUCGGUGAUGACUUCUUAUAUUACUCUAGGUCAUGUUGAUACUAUAGCAGACGCAAUAGUGGAGUUAAUAAAAAAGGAAUUGGCUGGAGCAACAGCCAUAAGAAGAGCAGUUAGGUAAGGUCAGCCUAAUGUUGAGGCUCUUCAUGACCAACCUUUUACUAAGGCAGAUCCGGGUGCUUCUUCUGGUGAAGUUGUUGGUGUUGAUGGCAGGCAUUCUGAU